CUUUCAACUCAAUGAAAUUGAUCUCCCCGUGCAGAAGCGGGCAUAAAAAUACAAGACGAGAAGACCCUUUGGAGCUUGAGAUGCAAGACCAACUAUGUCAAGAAACCUUAAAAGAAUUAAACUAAAUAGUAACUGGCCCUCAUCUUCGGUUGGGGCGACCACGGGAGACAACAAAGCUCCCACGCGGACUGGGGAAAUCCCUAAAACUAAGAGAGACAUCUCUAAGUCGCAGAAUAUCUGACUAAAAAGAUCCGGCUUCCUGCCGAUCAACGGACCAAGUUACCCUAGGGAUAACAGCGCAAUCCCCUUCCAGAGUCCAUAUCGACAGGGGGGUUUACGACAUCGAUGUUGUAUCAGAAAACCUAUACGUUGCAGCCCGCUCAGACAGGACUUCGUUUUUACGAUUAAAGUC
rnacentral:rRNA from 1 species